rnacentral:rRNA from 1 species
GGAAUCAACGCUGGCGGCGUGCCUAACACAUGCAAGUCGCACGAGAAAGGGGAGCAAUCCCUGAGUACAGUGGCGCACGGGUGAGUAACACGUGAAUUAUCUACCUCCGAGUGGGGAAUAACUGAGAGAAAUCUUAGCUAAUACCGCAUAACACUUACGAGUCAAAGCAGCAAUGCGCUUGGAGAGGAGUUCGCGGCCGAUUAGCUAGUUGGCGGGGUAAUGGCCCACCAAGGCGAUGAUCGGUA